ACGGGACGCGCUGCGGGUCGCGUCACGCCGCACGCGCCCUCAACUGAUCGCGCGUGGGUUCUUAGGGAGCCCGACGUCCGGGCUCCCGCUGGGUGGGGCUUCCUGGGCGGAGGCAGUCCCUUCUGGGCGGCCCAGGAUCCCGGCCCAGUUGACCUGCUUAGCUGCAGUCUCCCGCCCUCAAUCCGAAAGGGCGGACGUGGGGCGGGGGGAGGGUGUCUGGAGGAAGCGCGCGCGGGACUAGGCCGUGGGGCUGAGGCGGUUCUUGGGCGGAGCCCCGCCCUAGUCUCCGCCCUUGACGGGCCGGACCCGCCCUCCGAGAGCCGCACGGCAGCCCGCCACGGAAAUGGGUCCAGUGCCUUAUAAAGAAGCUUCAUAGAAAUCCCAGCCCCUGCCACCACAUGAGGACACAGCCAGAAGGCACCAGCUGUGAACCAAGAAAAGGGCCUUCACCAGAAUGUGACCAUGUUGGUGCUUUGACCUCAGAUUUUCCAGCCUCCAGAACUGUGAACAGUAAACAUCUGCUGUUUAUAAGCGCCCAGUUGGUGGUAUUUUGUUAUAGCAGCCUGAACAGACUAAGACAACUACUGUAUUUACACUGUAUCAACU
ensembl:lncRNA